ACCCCGGGUGCGGCGGACUAUAUACCAGAAGGGUCGGAGGAACAGUCACUUCUGGCCAAUCGCGGGAAAGCACGAAAGGUCACUCAAUAGAGGGGACUCACAAGCUGACUAUACCCUGAAAUAGGCACUUUCCAGAAUCCCACAAAGCCUAGGUGUUCUGGAGCUGCACCCUGUUUCAGUGCAGUCUGGUGUGGGAAGAGAUGGGAUGGAGUUGAGCUGUGGACUGUGGGACGUACCUACAGAAGCACAUGGCACCACAGAGAAGCACAUGGCAGCACAAAGGAGCACAUGGCAG